GCCUUUGUUGUAUAGUGGUUUGAGUGUUGGACUAUGACUCUGGAGACCAGGGUUCAAAUGUCUGCUCAGCCA